rnacentral:piRNA from 1 species
UGGAAGAAAGGUCUAUUCCACUGCGUUCC